GAGGCCUUUGAGGCUGAAAACAGUUGGACAGAUGUCCUGUGGGCCCACCUGGACAUGUAGGAUCGGAUCUGUGAGCCCGGGCAGGUGCGUGUGGGGGCCGACUUCUCUGCCCCUGUCGGGGGGUUGCCUUCUGCUCUCAGCAGGAGUGAUUGCUGACAGCCAUGCCCAGAAUACCUGCCUGCCUGCCCUGGGCUGUAGUAAAGCUGAGAAAAUGUAUCCAGUGCUCAGAACUUACAUGCCUGAGGUCCCAGGUUCAGUCCCUGGCUCUGCGUAUGCCGGAGCUGAGUCUCCCUCAUAAGAAAGCAGAAAUUCACUCAUUUGAAAAACGGGCUGGCGAGAGAGUUCACAUGGGAGGGCACUUCAAGCCCCUGGUCCGCCACCUGAGAUUACCAAGGCGGUAAACACAAAGGUAGUGUGUGUGUCUCCAUCUCUCUCAUUCACUCUCUCUUCUCUCUCGCUCUCUCCCUCACUGAAAAAAAAAAAAAUCCCGGAGCCCUAAAGCCCCAGAGUUGACAGCACCAGCAGACAUGGCGAUUGGAGGAAGAGCAGGGACCCAAAUUGGUGGCCAAGUUGAAGACCAAGGAGGCCUUUGAGGUUGAAAACAGUUGGACAGAUGUCCUGUGGGCCCACCUGGACAUGUAGGACACGUAGGAUUGGAUACGUGAGCCCUGGCAGAGCACAUCAGAGCUGGAAAGAUGGCGCCACAGGAGAGAGGACGUGCACCGUGAACACCCUGGUUCCUCCAUGGACACACCGCCCUUCUUGUGGAAAGGAAAGACUGGUUCAGAGAUGCACACGGUGCCCCCGAGUGGGAACGAAGCACGACCCUCCCCUCUGAGCAUCCCGAGGCAGGCCUGUGGCCACUUGCUUGCAGGCCACCAGCCACCAGGACGACCACCGCUCCUAGCAAGGCAGGACCCACUGGAUUCCAGCAUCUGCUCUGUGGACCAGCGCCUCUCGUCAGGGCCUGAGCGCCUGGCUUCAACUAGGACAAGGCCUAGGAGGCCUGGGCCCUCACAAGAUGAACGAACACUGACCCCAUGGGACUUGACUCAGAGACCCCUGUGCCCUCAGCAGGGUGACUGUGUGUGGGGGUUGCCGGGCACACAGCAGGCUGACUGCAUCCUUGGUGCCAAGUUCCCACCUGUGCGCAGGCCAAUGAGUCCAUCCCUUGCCCUACAAUUUAUGUACCCAGAGCCCUGAGUGGGGUGGUGGGUA